rnacentral:piRNA from 1 species
UCCUCAGUGCAGGGUUCCUGGGUGUCAGC